GAUAAACGCUGGCGGCGUGCCUAACACAUGCAAGUCGAACGCCCUUACGCAAGUAAGGGAGUGGCGGACGGGUGAGGAACACGUGGGUGAUCUGCCUUGAGGUGAGGAAUACCGGCGAGAAAUCGCCGACAAUACCGCAUACGUUCGUAAGAACAAAGUCGCAAGACGCCUUGAGAUGAGCCUGCGUCCGAUUAGCUAGUUGGUGGGUAAAGCCUACCAAGGCAGCGANCGGUAGCUGGUCUGAGAGGACGAUCAGCCACACUGGGAUUGAGAACGGCCC
rnacentral:rRNA from 1 species